rnacentral:lncRNA from 1 species
CUCUCUCUCUUUCUUUUUCUUCUUCCUCUGCACGCUCGACCGAACCAGCUUCUUUCUUCUCCUUCUUCUCUUCGCGUGCGAACCGGGAGCUCGGAGCAAAAGCAGCGCAGCUCGUCCCGCCGCCGCACCGCCGCACCGUCGCCCGCGCCGCGCCCGCGCACCCGUCGCCGUCCCGCCGUCCGCGCACGCCCAGGCCGCGCGACCCAGCUGCUGUUCGCUCCUGUUCCAGCUUCGACCAGCCACCGUCCGGCCACCUCCGGCCACCGCCUAGCCCGCCGGACCUCCCCUGCAACCCCCUCGCCCUCCGCCGACUUCCC